rnacentral:rRNA from 1 species
GUUGGGUAGGGGAGCGUUCUGUAAGCCUGCGAAGGUGUACUGUGAGGUAUGCUGGAGGUAUCAGAAGUGCGAAUGCUGACAUAAGUAACGAUAAUGCGGGUGAAAAACCCGCACGCCGGAAGACCAAGGGUUCCUGUCCAACGUUAAUCGGGGCAGGGUGAGUCGACCCCUAAGGCGAGGCUGAAAAGCGUAGUCGAUGGGAAACGGGUUAAUAUUCCCGUACUGGUGGUAACUGCGAUGGGGGAACGGAGAAGGCUAGGUUGUCCGGGCGACGGUCGUCCCGGUUCAAGCAGGUAGGCAGAGUGAUUAGGCAAAUCCGGUCACUUAAUGCUGAGAUGUGAUGACGAACCACUAAGGUGGUGAAGCAAUUGAUGCCCCGCUUCCAGGAAAAGCCUCUAAGCUUCAGGUUACCAACAAUCGUACCCCAAACCGACACAGGUGGUCAGGUAGAGAAUACUCAGGCGCUUGAGAGAACUCGGGUGAAGGAACUAGGCAAAAUGGUGCCGUAACUUCGGGAGAAGGCACGCUGGCGGUAGGUAAAGUCCCUCGCGGACGGCGCUGAAGCCAGUCGAAGAUACCAGCUGGCUGCAACUGUUUAUUAAAAACACAGCACUGUGCAAACACGAAAGUGGACGUAUACGGUGUGACGCCUGCCCGGUGCUGGAAGGUUAAUUGAUGGGGUUAGCCGUAAGGCGAAGCUCCUGAUCGAAGCCCCAGUAAACGGCGGCCGUAACUAUAACGGUCCUAAGGUAGCGAAAUUCCUUGUCGGGUAAGUUCCGACCUGCACGAAUGGCGUAAUGAUGGCCAGGCUGUCUCCACCCGAGACUCAGUGAAAUUGAACUCGCUGUGAAGAUGCAGUGUACCCGCGGCAAGACGGAAAGACCCCGUGAACCUUUACUAUAGCUUGACACUGAACAUUGAGCCUUGAUGUGUAGGAUAGGUGGGAGGCUUUGAAGUGUGGACGCCAGUCUGCAUGGAGCCAACCUUGAAAUACCACCCUUUAACGUUUGAUGUUCUAACCUAGGCCCAUAAACUGGGUCGGGGACCGUGUCUGGUGGGUAGUUUGACUGGGGCGGUCUCCUCCUAAAGAGUAACGGAGGAGCACGAAGGUUGGCUAAGCAUGGUCGGACAUCAUGCGGUUAGUGCAAAGGCAUAAGCCAGCUUGACUGCGAGAGUGACGGCUCGAGCAGGUACGAAAGUAGGUCUUAGUGAUCCGGUGGUUCUGAAUGGAAGGGCCAUCGCUCAACGGAUAAAAGGUACUCCGGGGAUAACAGGCUGAUACCGCCCAAGAGUUCAUAUCGACGGCGGUGUUUGGCACCUCGAUGUCGGCUCAUCACAUCCUGGGGCUGAAGUAGGUCCCAAGGGUAUGGCUGUUCGCCAUUUAAAGUGGUACGCGAGCUGGGUUUAGAACGUCGUGAGACAGUUCGGUCCCUAUCUGCCGUGGGCGUUGGAAGAUUGAGAGGGGUUGCUCCUAGUACGAGAGGACCGGAGUGAACGCACCACUGGUGUUCGGGUUGUCAUGCCAAUGGCAUUGCCCGGUAGCUAAGUGCGGAAGAGAUAACCGCUGAAAGCAUCUAAGCGGGAAACUUGCCUCGAGAUGAGUCUUCCCUGUCGCUUUAAGCGACCUAAAGGAACGUUUAAGACUAAGACGUUGAUAGGCUGGGUGUGUAAGCGUAGCGAUACGUUGAGCUAACCAGUACUAAUGAACCGUGAGGCUUAACCUGACAACACCGAAAGUGUUUUG